rnacentral:rRNA from 1 species
GACGAACGCUGGCGGCGUGCUUAACACAUGCAAGUCGAACGGAGUGGCGAACGGGUGAGUAACACGUGGGUGACCUGCCCUUCACUUCGGGAUAAGCCUGGGAAACUGGGUCUAAUACCGGAUAGUGUGGUAUGGGCCCGCGGCCUAUCAGCUUGUUGGUGGGGUAAUGGCCUACCAAGGAGGCGACGGGUAGCCGGACUGAGAGGGUGGACGGACACAUUGGGACUGGGACACGGGCCAGACUGCUACUGGAGGCAGCAGGGAGGAAUAUUGCACAAUGCGCGGAAGCCUGAUGGAGCGACGCCGCGUGGGGGAUGACGGCCUUCGGGUUGUAAACUCCUUUCACCAUCGACGCGGUAGAUGGAGAAGAAGCAACGGCUAACUACGUGCCAGCAGCCGCGGUAAUUC